UGGAUUUCCACUUUUCCCAGCACCAUUUGUUGAGGGAGGCUAUCUUUCCUCCAAGGUAUGUUUUUAGCAGCUUUGUCUGAUAUAAGAUUGUGGGGAGCUGCUCUGAAUGACUGCGCCUUCCAGUCCUGAAGCAUGAAGCUCUGACCAAUCACUACAAUUUGUGGUGACUUGGGUGUUGUCCCAGCUGGAAUAGCAAGGCAUGGCUCCAAGUGUAGGUGUCACCCGCAGGGUUGAGCUACACUUAUUUCUCUGUAAUCCUACCCCUUGCCUCAUUUGAAUGGCUUCCUCCCAAUAAAAGGGUACAGCUCUUGUCUCUCUUUCCACAGACCCUUGAGGUCAGAGGAGCCGUCAAAGGACUCAAAAAAAAAAAAAAAAGGUAUUUCUCUGUCUCUGUGUGAUUAUUUCUUGCCAGCCCAGUUCACCAGGAAUGACCUUGAGUGUUUAGUCAUGGAACACAACAUAAGAUAACUGUAAUUUUGUGGGUUAGUGUCAGUGUCCUCUAUUCUGUACUAUCGCUGUACGUGUCUAUUUUGGUGGCAAUACCAUGCUAUUCUUGUUACUAUUGCUCUGUAGUAUAGUUUAAGGUCUGGUUUGGUGAUGCCUCCUGCUUCACUCUUCUUGCUAAGGAUUGCUUUGGCUAUUCUGGGUCUCAUAUUUUUUCAGAUUAAUUUCAUGACUUCUUUUUAUAUUUCUAUGAGGAAUGUCACUGGAAUUUUGAUUGGGAUUGCAUUAAAUCUGUAUAGUACUUUUGGUAAUAUGGUCAUUUUGACAAUAUUAAUUCUGUCUAUCCAAGAGCAAGAGAGAUCUUUACAUCUUCUAAGGUCUUCUUUUAAUUUCUUUCUUUAGUGUUCUGUAAUUUUUAUUGUAUAGGUCUUUCACCUCUUUCGUUGAGUCCCAAGUAUUUUAUUAUUUUUGAGGCUAUUGUACUGGGGUAGUUUUUCUCAUUUCUCUUUUAGAGAAUUUGUCACUGAUGUACAUAAAUGCUUUUGGUUUAUGGCAUUGAUUUUAUAUUCUGCUACUUUGAUGAAUUCAUUUAUUAGUUCUAGAAGUUUUCUGGUGGAAUUUUUUGGGUUUUGUAGGUAUAGAAUCGUAUCUUUGGCAAAUAGUGAUAAUUUGAGUUCUGCAUCCCUUUGAUUUCUUUUAUUUGGCUAGAGUUUCUAGACCUUAUUCAAUAGAAGUGGUGAAAGAGGGCAUCGCUGUCUUGUUCCAGUUUUUAGAGGGAAUACUUUCAAUUUUUCUCCAUUUAGAAUGAUGCUGGCCUGGGGCUUAGCAUAGAUAGCUUUUACAACGUUGAGAUAUGUUCCCGUUAUCCUAGUUUUUCUAGUGUUUUGAACAUGAAGGGGUGCUGAAUUUUGUCAAAUGUUUUUCUGCAUCUAUCAAGAUGAUCAUAUGGCUCUUAUCUUUAAGUCUGUUGAUGUGAUGAAUUACAUUUAUUGAUUUCCCUAUGUUGAACCAAUCUUGCAUCCUGGGAUCUUUUGAGGGCAAAAAUUUAACCUAGAAUAGCCCUCAUAUAUACCCAAGUGCCUCUCUUUAAAGAAGGAAGGUUAGGGACUGGUGGUGCACACCUGUAAUCCCAGGUACUUAGGAGACUGAGGCAGGAGGAUUGCAAAUUCACCAUCAUCCUGGGCAGCUUAGUGAGACCUUGGAAGGAGGAGAAGGAAGGAAAGAAUAAGGAGAAGAAAAGGACAGAUGAUGGGGGAAGAAUGGUUAAAAAUCCAGCAGGAAUAUUUCAACAAGUCUACUAAAGUUUCCAAAAGCAGUAUUUAAAUUAGAAGAGGAGCAUGCAGCUUACAUAUUCAACAGUAUGAUAGUCUGAGUAUCCUGGAAAAGCCACUGUAAACAGAAUCAUGAUUAAAAUACAACCAGAACUACUGUAUUUCAAAAUAAAUUAAUUUUUAUCUCAAAAAAAUCAGGAAUACCUGCUAAUAAACUGGAACCUAGAAACUUGUUUGUGAACUUUUAAAAAAAUUGAUAGUCUGGGCUGCGGUUGUGGCUUAGCAGUAGAGCGCUCGUCUCAGGGGUGCAAAGCCCUGGGUUUGAUCCUCAGCACUACAUAAAAAUAAAUAAAAAUUUGAUAGUCUAUAGACAAUAAAGUGUACCAAUCUUAAGUGAACAGCAUGAUGAAUUUUACCUAUAUAUAUGCCUGUAAAAUGCUAUGUAGAUCAAUAUUUAAAACAUACUCAAAAUCUCAAAAGGCUGUCUUGUGCCUGUUCUCAGCUGAAUCUCUCAAAAGGUAGACAUUUCUCUAACUCCUACUUCCACAGGUUAGUUCUGCCUGUUUGUGAAUUUUACGAAAGUGGAAUAAAGUAGUGUGUUAGUUAUCUUUCCACCACUGUGACGAAAUAACCUGAGGUAAUCAACUUAGAAGGAGGAAAGGCUUAUCUGGCUCAUGGUUUCAGAGGUCCAGUGCAUGAUUGGAUGGCUGUGCUAUCUUGGGCCUGUGGCAAGGCAGAGUAGAGAACAUGUGGUGGGUCAACCUGCUCACCUCUGGCAGCUGGGAAGUGAGAGGUAGGAAGGGGUCAGGGUCCCAAUGUAGCCUUCAAGGGCACACACCUUCCCUCCCAGUGAUCUAAUAUCUCAGCCCCUAAGCCCCACCUCCUCAAGGCUCCACCACCUGAGGCCACGAUCAGGCCUUCCAAAAAAGAGCCUUGGGAAACAUUCAGGAUCCAAACCAUGACAAGUGGUGUGCUUGGUUUCAAUGGUGGGAUGGUGGACAGGAGGCAGAUGAUGUGGCUGGGCAGAGGGAUGAGACACACCCCCUGCAAGCGAUGGCUAAGAGUAAAUUCCUGGAGCAUCAUAGGGCAGGGGCUGUAGCUUAGUAGCAGAGGGCCUCACAUGUCCAAGCCUCAGCACCACAAAAAUAAAAUAAAGGCAACAUAUAUACUUCAGAGCACUUCAGAUAUUAAAAUUUUCAAAUACAGAGUGUAAAAUGUUAUUCUUAAAAUGUUCACAGAGGGUUUCAAGAUGGCCAAAUAGAGAAGGUUGCUUUCCUAGCUGCUCUGUGGCAUGAAAUCUCGAAAACAGAUAGGCAGCUUCUCAGCAAAGGGGCGAACAAAAAAAGGUGAACAUUCAAGUACUGGACAUUCAAAGCAGAUUGGGGACCCACGAGGUUGGAUAUAAUAACAUAAGGACGAAGUCCCCAGUGACCAGAGGCAGCAGCCAGAGCGGUCUCUCCAGGAGCCAAGUGCAGGAGCAAGGGGAUUCAAGGGACCUGCAUUUUAGGAGGUGGAGGUAUGUCUGGGUACAGAGUUCAGAGAUCCAAGAACUGCCCCACUAACCGGAAGGGCUGCACAAUAUCCUUGUACAGGAAAGAAGCCCCAUUGAGCCAUUCAUUAAAAGGAGUCACCCAAUAAAUAACUUAACCUCAACUCUUAAAGCCCUAGAAAAAG
rnacentral:lncRNA from 1 species